CGGAGCUAAUGCCGGAUAAUAUUUCGAACCGCAUGGUUCUAUAGUGAAAGAUGGCUUUGCUAUCACUUAUAGAUGGACCUGCGCCGUAUUAGCUAGUUGGUAAGGUAACGGCUUACCAAGGCAACGAUACGUAGCCGACCUGAGAGGGUGAUCGGCCACACUGGAACUGAGACACGGUCCAGACUCCUACGGGAGGCAGCAGUAGGGAAUCUUCCGCAAUGGGCGAAAGCCUGACGGAGCAACGCCGCGUGAGUGAUGAAGGUCUUCGGAUCGUAAAACUCUGUUAUUAGGGAAGAACAAACGUGUAAGUAACUGUGCACGUCUUGACGGUACCUAAUCAGAAAGCCACGGCUAACUACGUGCCAGCAGCCGCGGUAAUACGUAGGUGGCAAGCGUUAUCCGGAAUUAUUGGGCGUAAAGCGCGCGUAGGCGGUUUUUUAAGUCUGAUGUGAAAGCCCACGGCUCAACCGUGGAGGGUCAUUGGAAACUGGAAAACUUGAGUGCAGAAGAGGAAAGUGGAAUUCCAUGUGUAGCGGUGAAAUGCGCAGAGAUAUGGAGGAACACCAGUGGCGAAGGCGACUUUCUGGUCUGUAACUGACGCUGAUGUGCGAAAGCGUGGGGAUCAAACAGGAUUAGAUACCCUGGUAGUCCACGCCGUAAACGAUGAGUGCUAAGUGUUAGGGGGUUUCCGCCCCUUAGUGCUGCAGCUAACGCAUUAAGCACUCCGCCUGGGGAGUACGACCGCAAGGUUGAACUCAAAGGAAUUGACGGGGACCCGCACAAGCGGUGGAGCAUGCUGGUUUAAUUCUAACAACGCGAAGAACCUUACCAAGUCGUCGACAUCCGUUUGACACUUCUAGAGAUAGAAGCUUUCCCCUUCAGGGCGAGAAGUGACAGGUGGAGCAUAGGU
rnacentral:rRNA from 1 species